UGAAUCUACAAGAGGUGCAACACAGAACUCAGAGCCCAGGGGGAGCUCCUGGAAGCAAGUGAUCUGGAAACAAAUAUUUCAUCUUUCAUUUUUCAAAAAACAUGUGCCAAUGUGCCCUUGAGGGUCUCCUCCUGCACACCAGCUGAGUGGCUCAGGCUGAUAAGGAGAUGAAACAAGAGGAGUAAGGAAGAUGCGUUCCAGGAGGUGCUGCCAUCCUCUUGCUUCGUUUUGCAAGUAGAGAGCAUGGAGAGAUGCUAUCAAUGACAAACUAUGGAUGGAUAGUCAGGAUAGGAAACACAGGCAGGAGCAGAUGAUAAAGCUGCUCAGGGAGCUGACAUAUUGAGGUCCCUGACUGAACUUUGGGCAGAACACAUCCAUGCUCACCUCCCCCUGCAGCCCAUACAGAACUGCCUUCCAGGCUCUCCCCACACAUUCCUCGCACAUUCUAGGGUCGUUGCAGUACCCCAGGCACCUCACCCCAAGGGAGAUGUUUCACAAUGACAGCUGGACAUACACCCAGCUGUGAGAGCCUCACUGGCAAAUGUG